rnacentral:rRNA from 1 species
AGUGAACGCUGGCGGUAGGCCUGACACAUGCAAGUCGAACGGCAGCACAGUAAGAGCUUGCUCUUACGGGUGGCGAGUGGCGGACGGGUGAGGAAUACAUCGGAAUCUACUUUUUCGUGGGGGAUAACGUAGGGAAACUUACGCUAAUACCGCAUACGACCUACGGGUGAAAGCAGGGGAUCUUCGGACCUUGCGCGAUUGAAUGAGCCGAUGUCGGAUUAGCUAGUUGGCGGGGUAAAGGCCCACCAAGGCGACGAUCCGUAGCUGGUCUGAGAGGAUGAUCAGCCACACUGGAACUGAGACACGGUCCAGACUCCUACGGGAGGCAGCAGUGGGGAAUAUUGGACAAUGGGCGCAAGCCUGAUCCAGCCAUACCGCGUGGGUGAAGAAGGCCUUCGGGUUGUAAAGCCCUUUUGUUGGGAAAGAAAAGCAGCAGGUUAAUACCCCGCUGUCCUGACGGUACCCAAAGAAUAAGCACCGGCUAACUUCGUG